rnacentral:snRNA from 1 species
AACCUCUAUCAAUUAACACUCGA